GACACUGUAGCUCAGUGGUUCAGAGCACAUGAUUGCAAAGUGCGUUGACAUCGUGAGGUCCCGUGUUCAAUCCACGGUAGUGUCU